rnacentral:lncRNA from 1 species
GGGAGGGGGAAGGGGGUCAGCCAAGGGGCAUUCAACUCUGUGUGAUGCUGUGUCUGAGAGGGACCCCGACGUCUCAGGCUGGGAGAAAUCCUCAGGAGUCAUCCUGUCACUUCGUCGCAGUAAUCCAGGGGCAGAAGGCUGGGCCGUGCCCGUGGCGGGUUGCCGGGGGGGGAACGCCCUGAGGCCGCCGUUCCUGCAGCCUGCUUCACUGCUCUGAAGCUGAGCUCUGAUGUCCCCUGGGUGGCCAUUCUUCAAAGUCCAACCAGAGUUGCCCUGAUCCUCUGCUCCUGUCUAUACUUCUCAGCUCGGAGCCAGGGCCGUCGAGGGCAGGUUGGGCUCCAGCUCCAAGCCUGCCUCCAUCACUGUGGAGAGUGUGAGCCAAGCUUCUCCCCCGGGAAACCGGCGCCUCACUGGGACUGGGGUUUGCUGUUUGCUUCAGUCUGCAUGCUUGUUGGUGAAGACACGCAUCGAUCCCCCAGCUGGUGUGGGAGGUGACCUGGGCCAGGCUGCUGAGGCGUAAGAUCUGUAACAGGCCCUGUGACCCCGUCUUUUUUUUUUUUUUUUUUAAAUUAGACUUGAUUUACAAUGUCCUGUCAACUUCUGCUCUGCAGCAAAGUGACCAAGUUAUAAUAUCUGUGAUCCUGUUUUUAUUUGAGGAUUUGCUAUUUUGUUCAUCACAGAGCUUUUUUUGGGGGGGGGGGGCAUUUACCUUGACUUCCCAAAAUGCUGCAUUAUGAAUCUGGAUCCCCCAGUCGUUUGGUGCUCCCUUCAGUUUGGGGCUGUCAGCUGCCGCCCUGGCUGCACCUGCCCAGUCCUGCUCUUCCUGAACGAAUCAGAAAGUCAUGGAUGGACAGGAGAUGGAUCGCCCCAGGCAGCUCGGCCAUGGAGUCCCAGCCUCCGCUACAGGGAGGGUCAAAAGCCCUGCCUGGCUCUGUGGUUUGCAGAAACUUGAAGCCUCUUAAACUUUCCUGAGUGCCAGCCGCCUCCUGGGAGCCAGGAGGGCCAGGGAUGUGCCGGCUGCCCUGACUGCCUGCUCUGCCCACUAGAUGGCGCCCUGGCUGCACAGGCCUCAAGCACAGAGGACACUGAGCCACGGAGAGGUGAGCUGACGCACCUGCAGUCCUUUACCAUAUUGACCAUUGGUUAUGGGGCAGGCAUUUGCACCCCCACCUACCCAAAUGCCCCUUCUUCCUGGAUUGUUUGGUCUCUUUUAGAGGCACCUUUACUCACCUGGUGAAAGCCAUAGGACUUCCUCCUUGGAAAAAGUGUGAAAAUAAUUUCGUGGGUUUCCAGAACCGCACAGGCGUAGCUGAACAAGCUCCUUCCUGCAUGUCUGCAGUCUCUGCUUUUGAUUUGGGGUUUAUCGUCAGCUCCUGGCUUUCUGUUCCAGUUAGGAAUCUCACCAUGUGAUCGACCCAUUCAUUCGAGACGUAUUUAUUGAGCGCCUCCUAUGCGCAAAGCCACUGUGCCAGGUGUUAAGAGAUCCCUGCCUUUGUCGAUGGGAAGGAAAAUGAUAAAAAUAGGCAUCACUGGAGUUCCUGCUGGGGCACAGCGGGUUAAGAGCCUGACUGUGGUGGCUUGGGUGGCAGCGGGUCACUGUGGGGGGUGUGGGUGCAAUCCCCAGCCCGGUGCAGUGGGUUAAAAAGAUCUGGGGGUAUUGCCGUAGCGGUGGCGUAUUGUCCACAGCUGAGGCUUGGAUUCACUCUCUGGCUCAGGAACUUCCAUGUGCCAUGGAUAC